CCUACGGGAGGCAGCAGUGAGGAAUAUUGGUCAAUGGACGAGAGUCUGAACCAGCCAAGUAGCGUGAAGGAUGACUGCCCUAUGGGUUGUAAACUUCUUUUAUAAAGGAAUAAAACGAGGCACGUGUGCCUGUUUGCAUGUACUUUAUGAAUAAGGAUCGGCUAACUCCGUGCCAGCAGCCGCGGUAAUACGGAGGAUCCGAGCGUUAUCCGGAUUUAUUGGGUUUAAAGGGUGCGUAGAUGGGUUGUUAAGUCAGUUGUGAAAGUUUGCGGCUCAACCGUAAAAUUGCAAUUGAUACUGGCAGUCUUGAGUACAGUUGAGGUAGGCGGAAUGCGUGGUGUAGCGGUGAAAUGCUUAGAUAUCACGAAGAACCCCGAUUGCGAAGGCAGCUUACUAAACUGUGACUGACAUUGAGGCUCGAAAGUGUGGGUAUCAAACAGGAUUAGAUACCCCUGUAGUC
rnacentral:rRNA from 1 species